rnacentral:rRNA from 1 species
UACGGGGGGGGCAAGCGUUGUUCGGAAUUACUGGGCGUAAAGGGCUCGUAGGUGGCCAACUAAGUCAGACGUGAAAUCCCUCAGCUUAACUGGGGAACUGCGUCUGAUACUGGAUGGCUUGAGAUUGGGAGAGGGACGCGGAAUUCCAGGUGUAGCGGUGAAAUGCGUAGAUAUCUGGAGGAACACCGGUGGCGAAGGCGGCAUCCUGGACCAACACUGACACUGAGGAGCGAAAGCCAGGGGAGCAAACGGG